GACGUAGGGGACGAGCGUUGUCCGGAUUCAUUGGGCGUAAAGCGCGUGUAGGCGGCUUUGCAAGUCGGGUGUGAAAGCCCUCGGCUCAACCGAGGAAGUGCGCCCGAAACUGCAGAGCUUGAGUACCGGAGAGGGUGGCGGAAUUCCCCAAGUAGAGGUGAAAUUCGUAGUUAUGGGGAGGAACACCGGUGGCGAAGGCGGCCACCUGGACGGAUACUGACGCUGAGACGCGAAAGCGUGGGUAGCAAACAGG
rnacentral:rRNA from 1 species